AUGCGGGAGGAUGGGCAGGCAGUUGAUGAUGCCCUUUACGCACUAGCAAUGGAUCCUAAUACUCGGGUAAGACAUUAUGAAUCUUGCGUUGUUGGAGAUGUGCGCUACAACACCGUUGCACGCGACGAAGGCAGGAAGACACAAAACAGUGCCAUCAUGACCACGGAUACGUACGACAGAGAGACAACUGAAAUGUAUGCUAACAUAACAGAUAUUAUUGUCCAGUUGCAGUAUAUCUCCAGUUUCGAGGAUCAUCGGUGUGUGGUUCUGUUGUGCUGUCGUUGGUAUAACCUGUUUUUUAGGAUAGCAAAACCCAGAGCUGAUGAUUAUUUCAAAUAUCAAUGUCAAGGCGGCGUACCAGACCAACGAGCCUUUUAUUUGGCAAAUCAAGCAACACAGAUAUUUUUCUCUCUCUCAUCAGAGUCCACCGUUAUCAUCUCUCUCUCUCAUCAGAGUGAGACAAACCUUGUUAUAGUAAACAAUCGUGAAUCCGUCAUGCUAAGACCCCACAGUACUAGCGAAUCAAAGCAACAACCAUUAUCGGUGAAGAGAGUCGUAGAUUGA
rnacentral:rRNA from 1 species